UACAUGGGGGUGCAAACGUUGCUCGGAAUUAUUGGGCGUAAAGCGCGCGUAGGCGGUUACUCAAGUCGGAUGUGAAAGCCCUCGGCUUAACUGAGGAAGUGCACCCGAAACUGAGUAGCUAGAGUACUAAAGAGGGUCGCGGAAUUCCCGGUGUAGAGGUGAAAUUCGUAGAUAUCGGGAGGAACACCGGGUGGCGAAGGCGGCGACCUGGGUAGAUACUGACGCUGAGGAGCGAAAGCGUGGGGAGCGAACAGG
rnacentral:rRNA from 1 species